rnacentral:rRNA from 1 species
GGAGACAUCUUCGGGACGCUAAAGGUGGCGCAAGCUACCGCUUUUUGAGGAGCCCGCGGCCUAUCAGCUUGUUGGUGAGGUAACGGCUCACCAAGGCGUUGACGGGUAGCUGGUCUGAGAGGACGACCAGCCACACUGGGACUGAGACACGGCCCAGACACCUACGGGUGGCAGCAGUCGAGAAUUUUUGACAAUGGGGGAAACCCUGAUCGAGCGACGCCGCGUGGAGGAUGAAGGUCUUCGGGUUGUAAACUCCUGUCAUUUGGGAACAAGGCGUAUGUAUUAACUGUACGUGCGUUGAUAGUACCAGAAGAGGAAGAGACGGCUAACUCUGUGCCAGCAGCCGCGGUAAUACAGAGGUCUCAAGCGUUGUUCGGAUUCAUUGGGCGUAAAGGGUGUGUAGGUGGCGCGCUAAGUCGGGUGUGAAAUUUCGGAGCUUAACUCCGAAACUGCAUUCGAUACUGGCGUGCUUGAGGACUGGAGAGGAGACUGGAAUUUACGGUGUAGCAGUGAAAUGCGUAGAUAUCGUAAGGAAGACCAGUGGCGAAGGCGGGUCUCUGGACAGUUCCUGACACUGAGACACGAAGGCCAGGGGAGCAAACGGGAUUAGAUACCCCGGUAGUCCUGGCAGUAAACGGUGCACGUUUG